CCUUGGCCUUUUCACAGCAUGCUCCUCAUGAACUGGUCCCUUUUUGAAUAUUGAGCCCUCACCAGCUUCAUCUCUAAUUGCACUUAGCAUUUUACACUUGCUCCAUGUGAUCCCUCCCAGCCCUGGGCUUUCUGGGCCAGCGGGUCACUGCUGGCUGCUGUCGGACAAACACCUCGAACUGCACAGGUCCAGGGGACACCUGGGCCUGCCCACGUACUGUGGUCCCUCAUGGGGAAGUCAGCUCUCUUUCCUCACAGGAGACUGUUGGCAGUCCUGUAAAUUCUAAGACACAUGGCAGGCCAGCCCACUUCCUGUCACCUCUGCUGCUGCCAUUCCAGGCGUGCCAUCACCCUGGCAUCUGCCCCAGCCCUGACCCCACACGGCAGCCUGAGAGAGAGAGCUUUUAAAAUUAAAUCGGAUUAUGUCCCUCCCCUGCAGAAAACUUGCCUGGGCCUUCCAGUGGCACUCGGACUGAAUUCGAGCUUGCUCUCACAGGGUGACCAUAUUCUCUGCCGUCGGGAUCCCAUCCCACCGCCAUUCUCCACUCAUUCCCUCUGCUCCAGGCGUUGGUGCACUCUCCUAGGCCUCAGACCUCCCAGGUUUCUCCAACCUUCACAUGAGCACCAAGCCUUCUAACAGCCUGCAGAGCAACCCUGGCCACCCCUGUGUGCAGAUGAGCAAACUGAGGCUCCAAAGGAGAGAUCACCUGCCCGAGACAAUCCAAAGGGCAGAGCUGGUAGUUAGCCCAGGUUGAACCAAGGGCUGCGGACCCUCAGACUCACUUAAGCCAGUAGUCAUUCUACCAUAGCCCCCAUGCUUCAUCUCCAAAAUGCUCUUCUGAAUCCGAGGCCCCAAAAGAACCAGGACUGUGAGUGUCAGUGGGCACAGGCCAAGGAAGUACCCAGAGCCAUGCCAGUCCUCCAGCCUGCUCCUCCAGAAGCGAAGAGGCCUUCUAAAGAGGCAUGACAGAGCCAGGGCGCCUGGGUGACUCAGUCGGUUGAGCAUCUGGCUUUGGCUAAGGUCAUGAUCUCACUGUGUGGGUUCG